AACGCAACUGGCGCCGGUUUACCGGCAUGCCUGUUUCAGUGUGCUAGGAGAGUAAACUAUCAUUAUAAAAUAUAAUGCGAUUGAGGUACAUUUAUGUUCUUCUUUCGUUAAAUAUGAAGGUGUGUAAGAUGAGUAAUCUCUCACACUGGCAAACGAAGUAGUCAUGCUUGUUCGUAAUCUAGUUUAACCAGUGCUAAAGGUUAAUGCUUAGCUAUAAAUCACAUCUAAUCAAUUAAAUGUCACCAAAUAUGGCAUCUGGAAUCAGACGAGUAUACCCGCUGAACUUAA
rnacentral:misc_RNA from 1 species